rnacentral:lncRNA from 9 species
CGCCCCGCUGGUGCCUGACGCCCGGAUGGCGCUCGUGGACGUUUGCAGAACAGACUUGAAGUCAAGUCCCCGCGGCGCCCGCUGUUCAUUCAUUCGGCAUUGCUGAGCAUCUGCUGGGCACCAGGACUGCAACCCGUGCUGGGGACACCUACCGCCCAGGCCUGUCCCCGCCUCAGGACGCUCUCGGGGCGGCUCUUGACCUCCAGGGACCCCAGCCCCGCCCGCGGCAGCGCUCACCUGCUGGGCUGCAGGUCCGACCCUGGGCGCCUGCUGGUGCAGAACGCGGCGCCCGGGACCCGGAGAGCCAGGCUGGACGUGGCCGUGCACGGUGAUGAGACCACUGACAAACACGUGGUACGAGCGAGAUCCCUGCUGGAAGUUCAGAGCUCCCUGACCAGCGCAAGAGUGUCCUUCUACCAAAGGACAGGCGUGUGCAAGGUAUGUGGAGGGUCCCAUCCAGAAAAGUCCAGCUUCGAAUGCUUUUGAGUGGUUGUGCUGGAGUCGGGGCUGUGGCCGGAAGUCUGGCCAAGAAGCACAGGUGGUGAUCCUUGUGCUCCAAGGGCGAGUAAUCUGCCUCUGUUCACAUGCGGAGAAAACCUACACUGCGAGGUUGUGGGAUGCCAGGUACUGAUUGAGCAGAACAGAUAAGCAGAAAGUCACAGAAGGGACACAGUCUUUCUCUGCCACACAGGGAGUAGUCAGGUACAGCUCAGAGCCUGGGACGGAGGACAUCUGAUGUUUAGAAGGCGGUUGGAAAUACGUAAUUAAAGCCUGUAAGAGAACCCUGGGUUAAAGGUACAGGUGUUGGAGUCAUUUGCAUCGAUGUGACAUACGAUUUCUAUCGGGAGAUGAUGCAGCAAGGGGAAGGAAACGUUAAAACCCAAAGAAAGACAAGGCACUCUGGAGAUAAGAGCAGACGUUAAAAAGAAUUAGAACAUUUGGAAAUUUAAGACAUGGUCAUUCAAAUAAAAAUCUUACGGACUCAUUAGUAGCUUCAUAGAUACAGAUGAAGAGAUACUAGUAAACUAACAUACUUCUGAGGAAAUUAUACAGAAAGCAGAAUGAAGAAAUAGGGGAUGAAAAGUGUGAAUUAAGAAAAAUGAGGACAGGGUGAAAAGUUCAAUAUAUUAUCCAGCAAGAUUUCCAUAAAACAAGAAAGAAGGAGAGAGACAGAUUUGAUGAAGUAACGGUUGAUGAUUUCCUAGAAUUGAUGGAACAAUGUCUCAAAGUCAGUAAUUAGGAAUCUCAAACGAAUAAAUAAAAAGUUUAUUCCAGGCACAUGAAAUUAGAAUACUGCAAAGACAAAGAUGAAAGGAAUCAGAUAUAAAAGACCUUACUUGAGGCGUUCCCGUCGUGGUACAGCAAAAACGAAUCUGACUAGGAUCCAUGAGGGUGCGGGUUCCAUCCCCGGCCUUGCUCACCUUGCUGUGAGCUGUGGUAUAGGUCGCAGACGUGGCUUGGAUCCUACAUGGCUAUGUCUGUGGCAUAGGCCAGCAGAUACAGCCCUGAUCGACCCCUAGCCUAGGAGCCUCCAUAUGCCACUAUGAGUGUGGCCCUAAAAAGUAAAACAAACAAACAAAAAAACGUACUUGCGAAGAAAUUACUAUUAGAUCAUCAACAGAGCAGCAACAGAUUCUGAAAAUAGUAGAAGCCAGAAAUUAAACAGUAUCUUCAAAGUGUUAAAGAAAAACCAAUAAAGCUAGAAUUUAAUAUACAACUAAAUUAUCACUUAAUAAUUCCAAGUAAUGACACUUUUCAAAGACAGAAAAUUUACCUCUUGAAGAUUGUCACUCAAAGACUAAAAUAUCCACAUUAAUUCUAUGCAUCGUUUAAAGAUAUAUUCAUAAAUAUUAUAUAGGUAUCAUAUAUAGUACAUGUAAGUCAUGAAAUUAUAAAAAUAAUCAUGGGAAUGAGAAUUACCUAAUUCAAAAAUAGUAGUUAUCUGGAGUUCCCAUUGUGGCUCAGCGGUAACAAAUCCGACUAGUGUCCAUAAGGACUCGGGUUUGAUACCUGGCCUCGCUCAUUGGGUUAAGGAUCUGUCAUUGCCAUGAGCUGUGGUGUAGAUCACGGACUUAGCUCGUAUCUUGCAUUGCUAUGGCUGUGGUGUAGGCGGGCAGCUGCAGCUCCAUUUUGACCCUAAGGGUGUGGCCCUAAGGAAAAAAAAUAGUAAUUAUCUGUGGGGAAAGAGGAAAGAAUGGAAUUGGAGCUUUAUUUGUAUUUCUUAAGCUACCGUACAUAGGUAUUCAUUGUAUUAUUUUUUUAGACUUUUUUGGGGGGGGUCUACUUAAAACAUACUUUAAAAGGGAAGAGUGAAUUUUAUGAAAAACAGUGGUCUACAAUAUCAAAUAUUGCAUCAGAAAAUGAGAACAGGAAAUUCCACAAAUUUGGAUACUUACAGGCCCCUGAAUACACUCCAGGGAAUUGUUUUCCUGGAGAAGUGAGAAUGAAAACUUCCUUCCCAGUCUGCCCACAUCUGCUCCUAUCAUUUCUCUGCUCCUGUCACAGUAAAGGGGUCUCCCUCUGCGCAUCAGAGAUUGGUCCUUUCCCUGGGUGUUCUGGAUCCUACAUCUCCCACCUUUGGUGGCCCGUGCAUUUACCUCUUUCUUUCCUAUAUUUUCCUUUUCUCUCUACAAGCUCCUUUCUCACAUUUAAACGUGUUGAAGUUGCUCCUUUUUAAAACAUCUCUACCCCAGAUUGCUGCCUUUUUUCACUCUUGCAGUCCUCCUCCAACCACUGUUUUAUUUAUUUCCUUCUGUCAGUCAAGCAUCUUUAAAGAACUAUCUCCCGUUGGUGUCUCAAUGUCUGUACCUCCCACUUCUCUCUGAAACCACUCAAAUCUAGCUCCUCCUCCCCGCCCGCCUCCUCCACAAAAAUUAUUCUCCCUGAGGUCGCUAGGAUUUCUCUCCUGAUUAUUCUGCACUGCCUCCUCCUUACGCCUCA